GACGAACGCUGGCGGCGUGCUUAACACAUGCAAGUCGAACGGAAAGGCCCUGCUUUUGUGGGGUGCUCGAGUGGCGAACGGGUGAGUAACACGUGAGUAACCUGCCCUUGACUUUGGUAUAACUUCAGGAAACUGGGGCUAAUACCGGAUAGGAGCUCCUGCUGCAUGGUGGGGGUUGGAAAGUUUCGGCGGUUGGGGAUGGACUCGCGGCUUAUCAGCUUGUUGGUGGGGUAGUGGCUUACCAAGGCUUUGACGGGUAGCCGGCCUGAGGGGGUGACCGGCCACAUUGGGAAUGAGAUACGGCCCAGACUCCUACGGGGGGCAGCAGUGGGGAAUAUUGCACAAUGGGCGGAAGCCUGAUGCAGCAACGCCGCGUGCGGGAUGACGGCCUUCGGGUUGUAAACCGCUUUCGCCUGUGACGAAGCGUGAGUGACGGUAAUGGGUAAAGAAGCACCGGCUAACUACGUG
rnacentral:rRNA from 1 species